UACAGAGGGUGCGAGCGUUAAUCGGAAUUACUGGGCGUAAAGCGCAUGUAGGUGGUUUGUUAAGUUUGAUGUGAAAGCCCCGGGCUUAACCUGGGAAUGGCGUUGAAUACUGAUAGACUUGAGCCGGACAGAGGGCUGUGGAAUUUCCGGUGUAGCGGUGAAAUGCGUAGAGAUCGGAAAGAACACCAGUGGCGAAGGCGGCAGCCUGGGUCCAGACUGACACUGAGGUGCGAAAGCGUGGGGAGCAAACAGG
rnacentral:rRNA from 1 species